rnacentral:rRNA from 1 species
AGUAACGCGUGAGCAAUCUGCCUUUAAGAGGGGGAUAACAGUCGGAAACGGCUGCUAAUACCGCAUAAAGCAUUAAAUUCGCAUGUUUUUGAUGCCAAAGGAGCAAUCCGCUUUUUAGAUGAGCUCGCGUCUGAUUAGCUGGUUGGCGGGGUAACGGCCCACCAAGGCGACGAUCAGUAGCCGGACUGAGAGGUUGAACGGCCACAUUGGGACUGAGACACGGCCCAG